rnacentral:rRNA from 1 species
UACGAAGGUGGCAAGCGUUGUUCGGAUUUACUGGGCGUACAGGGAGCGUAGGCGGUUGGAUAAGCCCUCCGUGAAAUCUCCAGGCUUAACCUGGAAAGUGCAGAGGGGACUGUUCAGCUAGAGGAUGGGAGAGGAGGGUGGAAUUCCCAGUGUAGCGGUGAAAUGCGUAGAUAUUGGGAGGAACACCGGUGGCGAAGGCGGCCCUCUGGACCGGUACUGACGCUGAUGCGCGAAAGCGUGGGGAGCAAACGGG